AUUGAACGCUGGCGGCAGGCCUAACACAUGCAAGUCGAACGAGUGGCGGACGGGUGAGUAAUGUCUGGGAAACUGCCUGAUGGAGGGGGAUAACUACUGGAAACGGUAGCUAAUACCGCAUACCAUCGGAUGUGCCCAGAUGGGAUUAGCUAGUAGGUGGGGUACAGGCUCACCUAGGCGACGAUCCCUAGCUGGUCUGAGAGGAUGACCAGCGACACUGGAACUGAGGCACGGUCCAGACUCCUAGGGGAGGCAGCAGUGGGGAAUAUUUCACAGGAGGCGGAAGCCUGAUGCAGCCAUGCCGCGUGUAUGAAGAAGGCCUUCGGGUGGUAAAGUACUUGCAGCGGGGAGGCGUUACCCGCAGAAGAAGCAACGGCUAACUCCGUGCCAGCCGCCGCGGUAAUAC
rnacentral:rRNA from 1 species